CAGGUAGGUGGCUAUGUAAGUUGGGGGUGAAAUCCUUUGGCUCAACCAAAGAACUGCCCUCAAAACUACAUAGCUUGAGACUGAGAGAGGAGAACGGAAUUCCCGGUGUAGGAGUGAAAUCUGUAGAUAUCGGGAGGAACACCAGUGGCGAAGGCGGUUCUCUGGCUCAGUUCUGACACUCAGCUGCGAAAGCUAGGGGAGCAAACAGGAUUAGAUACCCUGGUAGUCCUAGCCGUAAACGAUGAGCACUAGGUGUUUGACCGUAAGGUUGGGCGCCGUAAGAUAACUCGUUAAGUGCUCCACCUGGGGACUACGACCGCAAGGUUAAA
rnacentral:rRNA from 1 species